GGAAGCCCUAAAUCCUAAAACGUGAAAUCCCUAAUUCCCAGCCCUCCUGACCGUACCCGGAGAAGAACUACCCAUCCCGACGAUUUCUCCCUCAGGUGAUAGCUAAUCCAGACUGACGUCGAAAGAGACAGAGGAGCAAUGAACCCAAGCUAUACCAACAGACCCAACCCAGACUGAUGAACCUAACCAGAGGAGACAGAGGAAACGAAGGAGACGGUGGACCCGAAAUGGAAGCCCGACGAAUCAUCGCCCGUGUAUGGUGAGGUAGUGAGUAUUUCACUGUCAAGUUUCACCAUGGAGACAUGUGGUUAUUUCCCUUUUGCAAUAGAAACUACCAGGGUGGUGAAUUCUCAUACUGGGACAAGAAUGACGUUGACUGAUUUUGUAGAAUGAUUUUGGAAGAUAUUGGACUAAUGGAGGGGUACAAACUGCCAUUUGUGUUUUAUUACAAACCACCAGGAAAGAUUCUGAAUCAGGGGAAGGUGAUCAUUGAGGAUAAGGAGACUAUUGAAAUAGUUUAGGAGAUGAUGAAGCUAAAAAUUUGGGAAAUAGAUGUGUACUUGGUCAAAUUGAAUGCAACCUGGCCAUAUUAAACCUACUUGCACAGACUCUACUGUUAAUGAGAGAGGUCGUCCACCACAGGCCAAUCCAACUCAAGAAACUAUCAAAAGGAAGGAGCAAUUGAGAAAGUCGAUAACUAAACAUCCUAACACAAGUUCUAGACCCACAACUAGGCUAGCUGCAAGAGAAAGGGGUAGUAGGUGGAAGAUGCAAUGGAUCCUUUGAAGAUGAUGAUGUCUUUUGUUCUUCUUUUAUUUUGGGACAUUUACUUAUUUAGAAAACUAUUGAGUAUUAGUCAAAUGCAGUUGCAGAAUGUCAAUUACAUAGUUCAUGAGGUCUUUUUUUUUAAACGUCUAACUCUUGGAUACAUUGGUAUAUGUCUAACUAUAGAUGGUGUAUAUCAGGAGCUUUUGGGUCAUGUCUUUACAUGUAAAUGGUGUAUAAUCAUUGUACAUCUGUUGAAUAGUUUGGACAUGUUUAUUGAACAUGCCAUUUUAAUGAAUAGGUUAUUUAUACUA